UACGGGGGGAGCAAGCGUUGUUCGGAUUUACUGGGCGUAAAGGGCGCGUAGGCGGCCACCGCAAGUCGGUUGUGAAAUCUCUGGGCUUAACCCAGAAAGGUCAACCGAUACUGCGGGGCUAGAGUGCAGAAGGGGCAACUGGAAUUCUCGGUGUAGCGGUGAAAUGCGUAGAUAUCAAGAGGAACACCUGAGGUGAAGACGGGUUGCUGGGCUGACACUGACGCUGAGGCGCGAAAGCUAGGGGAGCAAACGGG
rnacentral:rRNA from 1 species